AGGUUUGAGAGUGAUGUUGGUUGUUGACAGAAGAUAGAGAGCACUAAGGAUGACAUGCAAGUACAUACAUAUAUAUCAUCACACCGCAUGUGGAUGAUAAAAUAUGUAUAACAAAUUCAAAGAAAGAGAGGGAGAGAAAGAGAGAGAACCUGCAUCUCUACUCUUUUGUGCUCUCUAUACUUCUGUCACCACCUUUAUCUCUUCUUCUCUCUAACCU